rnacentral:rRNA from 1 species
ACCCGAAACCGAGUGAUCUAGCCAUGGCCAGGCUGAAGGUGCGGUAACACGCACUGGAGGGCCGAACCCACGCCUGUUGAAAAAGUCGGGGAUGAGCUGUGGCUAGGGGUGAAAGGCCAAUCAAACUCGGAAAUAGCUGGUUCUCCGCGAAAGCUAUUUAGGUAGCGCGUCGGACGAAUACUCCCGGGGGUAGAGCACUACAUGGGCUAGGGGGUCCUACAGAUCUACCAAACCUAAGUAAACUCCGAAUACCGGGAAGUACUGUCCGGCAGACACACGGCGGGUGCUAACGUCCGUCGUGAAGAGGGAAAAAACCCUGAUCGCCAGCUAAGGCCCCUAAUUCGUGGCUAAGUGGGAAAGGAUGUGGGGAUCCCAAAACAACCAGGAUGUUGGCUUAGAAGCAGCCAUCAUUUAAAGAAAGCGUAACAGCUCACUGGUCUAAACAAGGGUUCCUGCGCCGAAGAUGUACCGGGGCUCAAGCCACGAGCCGAAGCUGCGGGCUCAGCAAUGAGCGGUAGCGGAGCGUUCCCUAGGCUGUUGAAGCGGUAGCCGCGAGGCGCCGUGGAGGUAUGGGAAGUGCGAAUGCUGACAUGAGUAACGAUAAAGGGUGUGAGAGACACCCUCGCCGAAAGUCCAAGGGUUCCUGCGUAAAGUUAAUCUGCGCAGGGUUAGCCGGCCCCUAAGGCGAGGCCGAAAGGCGUAGUCGAUGGGAACCAGGUGAAUAUUCCUGGGCCUGGGAGCAGUGACGAAUCCCGUGUGUUGUCCAUGCUUAUCGGAUUGUGUGGGCAGCGAAGGGGUUCCAGGAAACAGCCUCCCGUAUGGACCGUACCCGAAACCGACACAGGUGGACUGGUAGAGCAUACCAAGGCGCUUGAGAGAACUCUGCUGAAGGAACUCGGCAAAUUGCCUCCGUAACUUCGGGAUAAGGAGGCCCCAUGCUUGCGCAAGCAGGUGUGGGGGGCACAAGCCAGGGGGUGGCGACUGUUUAGCAAAAACACAGGGCUCUGCGAAGCCGCAAGGCGACGUAUAGGGUCUGACGCCUGCCCGGUGCCGGAAGGUUAAGAGGAGAGGUGCAAGCUUUGAAUCGAAGCCCCGGUAAACGGCGGCCGUAACUAUAACGGUCCUAAGGUAGCGAAAUUCCUUGUCGGGUAAGUUCCGACCUGCACGAAUGGCGUAACGACUUCCCCGCUGUCUCCAGCAUAGACUCAGUGAAAUUGAAUUCCCCGUGAAGAUGCGGGGUUCCUGCGGUCAGACGGAAAGACCCCGUGCACCUUUACUGUAACUUUGCGCUGGCAUUCGUGU